GACAGAGGUCCCGAGCGUUAGGCGGAAUCACUGGGCUUAAAGCGUGUGUAGGCGGAUGCCUAAGUACCUUGUGAAAUCCCACGGCUCAACCGUGGAACUGCUUGGUAUACUGGGUGUCUUGAGCCACUUAGGGGCUACCGGAACAAAUGGUGGAGCGGUGAAAUGCGUAGAUAUCAUUUGGAACGCCAAUGGUGAAAACAGGUAGCUGGGAGUGUGCUGACGCUGAGACACGAAAGCCAGGGGAGCGAACGGGAUUAGAUACCCCGGUAGUCCUGGCUGUAAACGAUGUCGACUAGAUCGUGGUGGCUCUGACGCCUUCACGGUCGAAGCAAAAGUGCUAAGUCGACCGCCUGGGAAGUACGGUCGCAAGGCUAAA
rnacentral:rRNA from 1 species